CUGAGAGGAGCCUAUUGUCGAGGAUGUGUUUCCAUUCUCUUCGGGCUAAUCCGAAAACUAAAAACAGGCCAUUGAAAAAUUUACAUUGUCCUCAGCCGAAUACUUGGGGUACUACCUGGAAAACCAUUGCGGUGAAUUCCAGGCACUCAUCGGUAAUGAAUUCCAUUGUACGACAAACGCGUGCUGCAAUUUCAAAUUGAUCACCAAUAUUAUCUCCGCAAUCGUCAACCCCAACUUCGAGGCACAUCACGUCGUCAGGUGCGUCCUGACGCAGGAGAAAAAAAAUCAACAGGAAAAACUGGCGACAGGUGAUUUCCCCGGAUCCAGCUGCACGUCUUCGUCGCGCCAACGGAAGGAAAUC